GACGAACGCUGGCGGCGUGCUUAACACAUGCAAGUCGAACGGGCCCGCCCCUGUUUUUGGGGGUGGGUUGAGUGGCGAACGGGUGAGUAUCACGUGAGUAACCUGCCCCCUGCUCCUGGAUAACUGCUUGAAAGGGCGGCUAAUACGGGGUGUGCCGGCUGGUCCGCAUGGGCCUGGUCGGGAUAGUUUCAUCUUCGGGUGUUUCGGUGGGGGAUGGGCUCGCGGCCUAUCAGCUUGUUGGUGGGGUGAUGGCCCACCAAGGCGGUGACGGGUAGCCGGCCUGAGAGGGUGGGCGGCCACGCUGGGACUGAGACACGGCCCAGACUCCUGCGGGAGGCAGCAGUGGGGGGUAUUGCACAAUGGGCGGAAGCCUGAUGCAGCGACGUCGCGUGAGGGAUGGAGGCCUUCGGGUUGUGAACCUCUUUCUCCGGUGGUGAAGGCCCUGUCCGUUGCGGCGGGGUUGACGGUAGCCGGGUAUGAAGCGCCGGCUAACUACGUG
rnacentral:rRNA from 1 species